UCUGCAACCGACCCCACGAAGCUGGAUUCGCUAGUAAUCGCGCAUCAGCCAUGGCGCGGUGAAUACGUUCCCGGGCCUUGUACACACCGCCCGUCAAGCCAUGAAAGCCGGGGGCGCCUGAAGUCCGUGACCGCGAGGGUCGGCCUAGGGUGAAACCGGUGAUUGGGGCUAAGUCGUAACAAGGUAAC
rnacentral:rRNA from 1 species